GUCGUAACAAGGUUUCCGUAGGUGAACCUGCGGAAGGAUCAUUAUUGAAUUAUAGACCCUGACUGUCGCUGACCCUCCGGGGUAUGUGCACGUCUGUGGUCAAUUCUCCUUCUUMACCCUGUGCACCUUUGCGUGGAUCCAUCGGCCGUCACCUUUGGGUCUGCGUUUCUUAUCAAACUCUUUUGUAUGUCUCAGAAUGUCCUCUUGCGAUAAACCGCAUUUAAUACAACUUUCAACAACGGAUCUCUUGGCUCUCGCAUCGAUGAAGAACGCAGCGAAAUGCGAUAAGUAAUGUGAAUUGCAGAAUUCAGUGAAUCAUCGAAUCUUUGAACGCACCUUGCACCUCUUGGUAUUCCGAGAGGUACGCCUGUUUGAGUGUCGUGAAAUUCUCAUCCCCUUCUCCUUCUUCUAUUGGAGGGUCUUGGGGCUUGGAUUUGGAGGUUUUUGUUGGUCCUUGAGAUCAACUCCUCUUAAAAGCAUUAGUGAGUCCCCUUCGUGGCCUCGGUGUGAUAAUUGUCUACGCCUUAGCUAUGAUGUAGGAGCUCGCUUCUAACUGUCCUUGGACAAACUUUAUCGAAACUUGACCUCAAAUCAGGCGGGACUA
rnacentral:rRNA from 1 species